rnacentral:rRNA from 1 species
ACGUACGCUGGCGGCGUGCCUAACACAUGCCAGUCGAACGGUGAAGCACCUUCCUUUUGGUGGGUGUGGAUGAGUGGCGAACGGGUGAGUAACACGUGAGUAACCUGCCCCCUUCUUCUGGAUAACCGCAUGAAAGUGUGGCUAAUACGGGAUAUUCUGUGCCUGCUGCAUGGUGGGUGUGGGAAAGAUGCGCUUUUGGGUGUUUUUGGUGGGGGAUGGGCUCGCGGCCUAUCAGCUUGUUGGUGGGUUGAUGGCCUACCAAGGCGGUGACGGGUAGCCGGCCUGAGAGGGUGGACGGUCACACUGGGACUGAGACACGGCCCAGACUCCUACGGGAGGCAGCAGUGGGGAAUAUUGCACAAUGGGCGCAAGCCUGAUGCAGCGACGCCGCGUGAGGGAUGGAGGCCUUCGGGUUGUAAACCUCUUUCGCCAGUGAAGCAGGCCUGUCCCUUGUGGGUGGGUUGACGGUAGCUGGAUAAGAAGCGCCGGCUAACUACGUG